rnacentral:rRNA from 1 species
UACGUAGGGUGCGAGCGUUAAUCGGAAUUACUGGGCGUAAAGCGUGCGCAGGCGGUGACCCAAGUCAGAUGUGAAAAUCCCCCGGGCGUUAACCUGGGAACUGCAUUUGAAACUAGGUACGCUAGAGUAUGGCAGAGGGGGGUAGAAUUCCACGUGUAGCAGUGAAAUAGCGUAGAGAUGUGGAGGAAUACCCGAUGGCGAAAGGCAGCCCCCCUGGGGUCAAUACUGACGCUCAUGC